rnacentral:tRNA from 1 species
CAUUAGAUAACUUAAAGUAAGUACUGGUCUCUUAAACCAUAAAAUAGUAUAGUUACGCCUACUUCUAAUGA